rnacentral:rRNA from 1 species
UUCUGAACUGGGUGANUAGAGUGUGUCAGAGGGAGGUAGAAUUCNACGUGUAGCAGUGAAAUGCGUAGAGAUGUGGAGGAAUACCGAUGGCGAAGGCAGCNUCCUGGGAUAACACUGACGUUCAUGCCCGAAAGCGUGGGUAGCAAACAGGAUUAGAUACCCUGGUAGUNCACGCCCUAAACGAUGUCGAUUAGCUGUUGGGCAGCAUGACUGCUUAGUAGCGAAGCUAACGCGUGAAAUCGACCGCCGGGGGAGUACGGUCGCAAGAUUAAAACUCAAAGGAAUUGACGGGGACCCGCACAAGCGGUGGAUGAUGUGGAUUAAUUCGAUGCAACGCGAAGAACCUUACCUGGUCUUGACAUGUACGGAACCCUCCAGAGACGGAGGGGUGCCUUCGGGAGCCGUAACACAGGUGCUGCAUGGCUGUCGUCAGCUCGUGUCGUGAGAUGUUUGGUUAANNNNNNNAACGAGCGCAACCCUUGUCAUUAGUUGCCAUCAUUAAGUUGGGCACUCUAAUGAGACUGCCGGUGACAAGCCGGAGGAAGGUGGGGAUGACGUCAAGUCCUCAUGGCCCUUAUGACCAGGGCUUCACACGUCAUACAAUGGUCGGUACAGAGGGUAGCCAAGCCGCGAGGCGGAGCCAAUCUCACAAAACCGAUCGUAGUCCGGAUUGCACUCUGCAACUCGAGUGCAUGAAGUCGGAAUCGCUAGUAAUCGCAGGUCAGCAUACUGCGGUGAAUACGUUCCCGGGUCU